UUUAAGUACAACCAUGAGUUUUCGUGUCCAACUUAGAUCAUCCGUCUUAUUUGAAAAUUUUUUAUAAUUAGUAUUUUUGUUGCUAUGAGAUGAUAAAAAAUGAAUAAUACUUUACUCGUGACUUAUGUUUUUAAUUUUUUUUAAAAAAAAUUAAAAUAAGACAGACGAUCAAAGUUGGACGCGGAAAAACAUAGCUGCACUUAAA
rfam:Oryza glumipatula chromosome 9, whole genome shotgun sequence.